GGCUGUAUCACUACCAAAGAGCUAGGGUCAGUAAUGAGAUCUCUUGGACAAAACCCCACUGAAUCUGAAUUGCAAGAUAUGAUCAAUGAAGUCGAUGCUGAUCAAAAUGGCACAAUUGAUUUCCCUGAGUUCUUGAAUUUGAUGGCUAGGAAAAUGAAGGUCUGCUUUGCUUCAAUCUUCCUUUUUCUUUUUCAUUGUUCUUUUACUUUUUGAGCAUCAGCGGUUGGAUUUGGUGUAAGUUUUAGAUGGCUAUAGUGAUAUAUAUCAUAAUUAUCAGUGUUUCUGUUGGUGGGAUUUACUUCUAAAGAUAAUGCCUCUGCUUUCUCUUGAUUAUUCUGCCUACUCUUACUCUUGUAUGCUGUGGCUAUCUGUGCUCUUUCAUUCAACAAACAUUACAAGUGCAACUCUGUUUUUAUACAUGUCUUGGUUUGUAAAAAGAUAAUCUCAUUGCCUUUGUUUGCAUAAUGGAAUUUGUGGAACAUCUCCUCCUAAUCCUGUAUGUAAUAAGUAUUUCAAUGCACUGAUUUUCUUUGAUUAUAUGAUUUUGGGUGAAGGAUACUGACUCUGAGGAGGAACUUAAAGAAGCUUUCAAAGUGUUUGAUAAAGAUCAGAAUGGCUUUGUUUCCGCUGCUGAGGUAAUUAAACACCACAUUUUGUUGUCUUCAAGUGUCUUUCCUACUUUGAUUUCAGAAUUUGUGUAGUCACAAAACCUAUUGCAAAGCUAACAAUGAAAUACCAUGCCCGCCUGCAGUUGAUAGUUUAAAUCUCAAAGGAUCUAUUUCCUUCUCACAAUUCAUGCUUUACGCUUGGAAUGUGCAGCUAAGGCAUGUGAUGACAAAUCUUGGAGAGAAAUUAUCAGAUGAAGAAGUGGAUGAGAUGAUCCGAGAAGCUGAUAUUGAUGGUGAUGGCCAGGUAAACUAUGAGGAGUUUGUUAGGAUGGUGCUAGCAAAGUGACUGCAGUUGCUUCUUAAUUUCUAAGCUCACGAGUUACUAGUGGCAGCAGCUUUCUGGUCUUCAAAUAACUUUGUUUUGGGUUCUCCAGUAGUCAUGUUUGGGACAUAUUUUCUUUUUGAAUCUAAAAAGUUGCUGACUUUGGAUGUCAGUUUCAUAUUUGGUGCUUGCGCUUGUCUAUGGGUUUGUCAAUGAUGAUGGGUUUAUCUCUCUAGUCUAGUUUGUCCAAACCAGAGAGAUGUUGGUAGUCGAAAUUUGAAACUUGAUCUGAACUCAAAAUCCAUCAAACCUAUUUCUCAUGCUCAAGCUUGACCUAAUGGGAUGUUUGAAUAACUCAAGUUUUAACUUGAUUACUGUUAGAGAUAAA
rnacentral:misc_RNA from 1 species